rnacentral:tRNA from 1 species
GACCUUAUGAUCUAAUGGUAUGAUACAACAUCUUCAUUGUUGAUAUACGAGUUCAAUUCUCGUUAAGGUUA